rnacentral:rRNA from 1 species
AUUGAACGCUGGCGGCAGGCCUAACACAUGCAAGUCGAGCGGGGUUUUCGGACCUAGCGGCGGACGGGUGAGUAAUGCGUAGGAAGCUACCCGAUAGAGGGGGAUACCAGUUGGAAACGACUGUUAAUACCGCAUAAUGUCUACGGACCAAAGUGUGGGACCUUCGGGCCACAUGCUAUCGGAUGCGCCUACGUGGGAUUAGCUAGUUGGUGGGGUAAUGGCUCACCAAGGCGACGAUCCCUGGCUGGUUUGAGAGGAUGAUCAGCCACACUGGAACUGAGACACGGUCCAGACUCCUACGGGAGGCAGCAGUGGGGAAUAUUGGACAAUGGGCGCAAGCCUGAUCCAGCCAUGCCGCGUGUGUGAAGAAGGCCUUCGGGUUGUAAAGCACUUUCAGUAGGGAGGAAGCGUUGUGUGUUAAUAGUACACAGCGUUGACGUUACCUACAGAAGAAGCACCGGCUAACUCUGUGCCAGCCGCCGCUGUAAUAC